rnacentral:siRNA from 1 species
GACACUCGAGCUGGUGGACUGUGU